rnacentral:lncRNA from 1 species
AAUAAUCAAUCAUAGACCGCCACAUCAUGUAAACAUUUAAAAAUAUUUUAUUGGUGUUUUCUUUUCUUUUACCUUAUUUCUCUCUCUCUCUCUAUUUUUUUUCUUCUAUUUUUUCCCUUUUUUUCUUGGUUCUUCUUUUAUAAUAUCUAGCAAUGUAAAAAAAUGCUCAAAAUUUGCCCUCCCAAAGACGAGACGCUGGCGAUUAAUUCUGUUUUCGAAUUUCUCCGCCUGCUUGCUCGACUUAACGGGAUUGCUUGACUUAACA